AGUGGUAGCAAUACCAUGAGUAAAGUGGCGCACGGGUGAGUAACACGUGACUAACCUACCCUGGAGUGGGGGAUAACUGAGGGAAACCUUAGCUAAUACCGCAUAAUACCUACGGGUCAAAGGAGCAAUUCGCUUUGGGAGGGGGUCGCGGCCGAUUAGUUAGUUGGCGGGGUAACGGCCCACCAAGACGAUGAUCGGUAUCCGGCCUGAGAGGGCGCACGGACACACUGGAACUGAAACACGGUCCAGACUCCUACGGGAGGCAGCAGUGGGGAAUUUUGCGCAAUGGGGGAAACCCUGACGCAGCAACGCCGCGUGGAGGAUGAAGUCCUUCGGGACGUAAACUCCUUUCGAUCGGGACGAUAAUGACGGUACCGGAAGAAGAAGCCCCGGCUAACUUCGUGCCAGCAGCCGCGGUAAUACGAGGGGGGCGAGCGUUGUUCGGAAUUAUUGGGCGUAAAGGGUGCGUAGGCGGUUUGGUAAGUCUUGUGUGAAAUCUACAGGCUCAACUUGUAGUCUGCACGAGAAACUGCCGGGCUGGAGUGUGGGAGAGGUGAGUGGAAUUUCCGGUGUAGCGGUGAAAUGCGUAGAUAUCGGAAGGAACACCUGUGGCGAAAGCGGCUCA
rnacentral:rRNA from 1 species